rnacentral:misc_RNA from 1 species
UUUCCGUAGGUGAGCCUGCGGAAGGAUCAUUAAAAAUGAAGCCGGGAAACCGGUCCUUCUCACCCUUGAUUAUCUCAAUUUGUUGCUUUGGUGGGCCGCGCAAGCACCGGCUUCGGCUGGAUCGUGCCCGCCAGAGGACCACAACUCUGUAUUAUAUGUCGUCUGAGUACUAUAAAAUAGUUAAAACUUUCAACAACGGAUCUCUUGGUUCUG